AACCGUUCUGGCAUGAAAUAUCCACCGGGCAACGCUCCACAAGAUGGCUGCCGCACGCCAGCCAUGUGCGCGAAAAGCCAGCAUGACCUAGCUGUUCGAGGAGGAGCUCAUCCAGCACAUCAGACCACCAUGUGAGCCUACCCCGGGGCUGCGCGGGCAGACUACACUGGGCAAAGGUACAGGCCUGGGGCAUUAGGCAGGGAGGAACGGGGUGCAUACAGAGCGGGAACAAAC